UAAAUAUAAAUGUUGUUUUUUAAAAGAUAAUACAUAAAUGUACUGAAAAUAUGCACAUCCACUACAAAAAAAACGGUCUACAACGACACUUUUAAAUAUAGGUAUAUGUCAAAAAAGUACUGCUAGCUAAAAUUACCGACACUUUUAAAAAGUGUUGCUAUAUGUGGGGUCGCUAGGUAUAUAGUGACAGUUAAAGAGUGUCGCUAUAACCUAAAAGAGUGCUGCUAAUUUACCAACACUUAUUUAAGCAUUUAGCAACCCCCGAAACUCUAUCUCGUUGGCUGCGGUGGCGUAGGAGGACGACAGGAAAGGCUCUUCGUCUAGAAUUUCAGUGGAUUGAGUAAAGAGAGAAGAAAAGAUGGUAAUUGAUUUUUUUUUUUUCUUUUCUGCUUGUAUUCGGGUCAAUUGUACUGGGUGUGGUGGGUUGAGUAGAGUAAUCUUUUAUUUUUGGUUGGAUUGGGCUUUAUAUUUAGGCAUAAGUAAAUUUUUUUAAGUUUUAGCAUAAAUAGGACACUUACUCAAAAGUGUCCCAAACAUGUGUCCCUAUAACCUAAUUCUGUUGUAGUGAUCAUACAGUUACUUAAUAAUAAAAUUAUAAAAUAUUUGCUAUCC
rnacentral:lncRNA from 1 species